AUUGAACGCUGGCGGCCGGCCUAACACAUGCAAGUCGAACGAGUGGCGGACGGGUGAGUAAUGUCUGGGAAACUGCCCGAUGGAGGGGGAUAACUACUGGAAACGGUAGCUAAUACCGCAUACCAUCGGAUGUGCCCAGAUGGGAUUAGCUAGUAGGUGGGGUAAAGGCUCACCUAGGCGACGAUCCCUAGCUGGUCUGAGAGGCGUGCCAUCCUCACUGGAACUGAGACACGGUCCAGAGUCGUCCAUGAAUCAUCAAUAUAUAAUAUUGGGCAAUUGGCGCAAGCCUGAUACAGCCAUGCCGCGUGUAUGAAGAAUACCUUCGGGGUCUAAAGUACUUUCAGCGGGGAGGCGUUACCCGCAGAAGAAGCACCGGCUAACUCCGUGCCAGCAGCCGCGGUAAUAC
rnacentral:rRNA from 1 species